rnacentral:siRNA from 1 species
UUUUACACGUAUUAAAUGGCCA